AUGAACUAUAAAGAGCUAUUAAACAAGGUAGUCAUACAAAUUAUUAUGACACCUAAAACAAUGGCUGUAUCUAUGGCAAAAAGUUUAAUGUUUGAUAUGGAAUCAAAAUGGUAUUUAUUCGUGUUCACAGCUACAAAACUAUUCAUACAGAGAAGAGAAUAUGAAAAUCGAAGACAGUUGUAUGUUCAAGACAUUGAACUAAACCAAAAUGGUAGCCUGUCACAGAACUACUCUCCACGGCCCUACGCUUCCUGUGAUGCUGUAUUCACUAGACACUCAAAGAGCACUCCUGGGACUUUCUGGUGUCUCAGGAACAGGCUCUAGUUUACCUCAAGUUCAAAGAGCCAUUUUCUUCACUGGGGCCUUUCUAUAUCACCAGCCACCCCGCUGUGCAGUUAUGAACGUUCCUCUAAGGUCCAGACCUUUUGGCACCUCUCAGGACGUCAGAAGAAGCUCCUUGAGGGAAGUGUUUCAAGAGCAGGGGCUGUGAUUUUCCAAUUGUCAUUGCCUUUGCAUGAAUCUUAGCAUCUGGGAGCUGCUGUCUGUUGAAUUAUGUGUGUGUUAGUAUGUGUCAGAUUUGGGGAAAGGCGUUGUUUCAGCAUGACAUUUAGCAUCAGUAACUGAUUUUAAGAAACAAAACCCAUUCUAUUGAAAUCUUUUAUUAGAAAACAUGUCCCACAGUUUACCCAAUUCAUUCCAGGCCUUUCAGCCAGUGAAGUGUUUAUAGUUCUGACUUGGGUAAAAUAGAAUCUUUCAGGGAUAUGUCAGUGUUUCCAUUACGCCCCUCUUUUUCACCCCAAAGUAGCACAAGUUUAUUAGUGUGUCCAUAAAAAUUAAUAUUCCACUGAAACCUGGCACCAAACCCUAAAGUAAAUGUUUACAUAUCCCUUCAAAUAUUAACUCAGUUGUUUCUACAAAAUGAUAGACCUGCCAGGCAGGAAAAUUCUCAAUUCAUAGACUUUCUCAGCUAAUUCAGCUGAGCUAUCCUUUCAAUGACUAAAAUUAGCUAAAAAAAACAGCACCUGAGAUGACAGGAUGGCAGAAAAGGGCUGAGAGAGAAGAACUUUAUUAAUUAUCCAGAAGCUUCCAACAUGAGGUCAUCCCGAAAAGUGGAAACUAUCAAACUAAGCAAGUAUAGCCAAGCAGGAGAGUUAUUUGCACAAAAACAUACAUCCCUGGUCUCUGUCAACUGCAUGUUAGCUGUCAGGAAAUGGCCUGAGGGCCAACCCACGUGUGGCCGCUGUGGGGGAGGUGCUUGGGACAGAGUUGCAGAUGGAGUGCUGACUGAGCUCCCGGCUUAUUUGGCUGACCCAAUGGCAGUGAAGCCAGACCCCUGCCAAUGUUUAAGACAGCAGAUCCAUUUUGGAAGGCUGACAAAAUGAUUCUCUGGAUGACUGAAGGACCAGUGAGGGCAGGGGAAAGGAAAAUGUGGUGAGCUCAGGGGUGAAGACACAAAAGAAUUAAGAAGCCAGCGUCUCUUCUUUCAUCAGCCCCCAUCCUGGUUCUGCUUAGAUUGAAUCCUUGUUCCGAGUUCUCCUUGACUCCUCUCAUGCCUUCCUCUAAAUACCUAUUGUAGUAAAAAGGUAUAUCAAUGUACCUAUAUGUCAAAAUCAGAAGACUUAUUUGAUUCAGGACAUGCCUCCACCACUUACUAGCUGUGUGGUUUUGAGCCAGAUACAUCCUUACCUGAAUAGUCCUUUCUUUAUCCAUAAAGUACACAUCUAGCAAAGAGUUCUCAAUUAAUACUUAAUGUUACUAAGUGCUGCCCCUUCUGCCUAACAUGGUUAGGGUCAGAAUCACAUGAGCUGACAUAUGUGAAACUAUUUUGUUCAUCAUCAUCAUCAUCAUCAUCAUCAUCAUCAUGAUUAUACUACUAAUAAUAAGUAUUUAUUAUGUGCCAGGCAAGGGUUAAGAAUUUGGCAUAAAAUGUCUUACUUAAAUCUAUACAACUCACAUCUAAGUCAUUUUUGUUUUUUGACUUUUCAGAUAAAUAGUCAGAGGCUCUGAAAUUUUUAGCAUCUUUCCCGAGAUGCUCAUUCUCCCCAACUUGCCAAUAUAUUUAGCAACCUAAAUCCCAGAUGGCUUACAUUUUUUGUAGAUCUUGACAAACUGAUUUUAAAAUUGAUAUGAAAAUGCAGGGAACCUGGAAUAGCCAAAACAAUUUUGAAAAAGAAGACAAACAAAACAAUUUAGGUGAAAUUCACUACCUGAUUUCAAAACUUAUGAUAAAGCUGCAGUAUGCAAGAUAGUGUGGUAUUGGCAUGAAGGUAGACAUAUGUAUCAGUGAAACAGAGAGUUUAGAAAUAGACCCACUUAAAUGGCCAUGUGAUUUUCUACAAUGCCAACAGGGGAAUUCAUUGGGAAGGACAGGUUUUUUUUAAAAAUGAAGCAGCAAUAACUCUAUCCACGUGGACAAAAUGUACUUUGACCCUUAUCCCACAUCGUACAAACAUAAUUAAACAUUCAUUAUAGAUAGAAAUAUAAAAAUUAAAGCUUUAGAACUCCUAGGAGAGAAUCUUUGUGACCUGGGGUAAGCAAGGAGUAUUUUUAAAAUUGUAUACAAACACACUAUCCAUAAAAGACAAAUAUAUAUAUAAACCCGAUUUCACCAAAGUUAAAACUUCUGCUCUUCAAAAGAUGCUGUUAAAAUAAUGAAAAUGCAAUGUACAGUUAGGAAUAAAUUUUUGCAAUACAUAUAUAUGACCA
rnacentral:lncRNA from 1 species